GCAAGCAGCUAUUCAAAUGCAAGUUGCGUCCCCAAAUGCACGGCUGGCCUGAGCAAAAGGAGCCGCUCGACGCGGGGCGAGCCGAGACCAGCGCUGGGGUUCUGGGUCACCUCUUUUCUCCCGGUUUUUCCCUCGCUCUUCGGUUCCUGAAUUAGCUGUUUAUUUACGGCUACAAACGCGUGUGAGCCAGAGAGCCAACGCGCGAGGGAGGGAAUUGAUCUUUACCGGGACUCAAAGCUGAAGCCGAAGGAGUGCAGGAGAUUUGGGGUUCUGAGUGGGACUCAGACCCCGGGUGCUGAUGGGGAGUCCGUGGACUUUCUUGCCCGCUUCCCUAAUCCCCGCGACCCUGCAGGAACCCUCAAGCCUGAGAACGGCCGGGCCCCUGGCUUUGGAGAAAGUGGCGGCCACUGCGUCCCAGUCUUUAAAAUGAACGCAAAGAAAGGAGGCAAAGCUGAAACCUCGCCGCGUGUCAGAAACAACCUGCCGUGAAAUCCGUUAAUGCGCACGGACUCGCCCUCCGCGCAUGUAGCCACAGCAAAUUAUUGCUCAUUUGAUACCCAGAAUUCUAUUGACGAUGGCUUUCAUCGGAGAGAGAAUUCUAACUACUGGCAGCUCGGGGCUCAGAGCUGAGGCUGGAAACAUGGAAAUUCAGCCCCUGGCCUGCAGGAAUUGAUGGACAUGUGUUGGUGGCAUGGAGCCACGUGGGCUUGCAUAGAAACCUGCUUUUUACUCUGCUGGCCUUGCCCCCAUUCAGGCAAAAGGUCAGCCUCUUUGGAACAGAUUUGCCUACUUGGAAG